rnacentral:rRNA from 1 species
GUAGGUGGCAAGCGUUGUCCGGGAAUUAUUGGGGCGUAAAGCGCGCGCAGGCGGUUCUUUAAGUCUGAUGUGAAAGCCCACGGGCUCAACCGUGGAGGGUCAUUGGAAACUGGAGAACUUGAGUACAGAAGAGGAAAGCGGAAUUCCACGUGUAGCAGUGAAAUGCGUAGAGAUGUGGAGGAACACCAGUGGCGAAGGCGGCUUUCUGGUCUGUAACUGACGCUGAGGCGCGAAAGCGUGGGGAGCAAACAGGAUUAGAUACCCUGGUAGUCCACGCCGUAAACGAUGAGUGCUAAGUGUUAGGGGGUUUCCGCCCCUUAGUGCUGCAGCUAACGCAUUAAGCACUCCGCCUGGGGAGUACGGCCGCAAAGGCUG